GCAGUGACAUUUGAGAAAUAUUAUUUUCCGCACUUAAAUUCUUGAUAAAUCGGAGACGAGCGAAGCGAAUGUGCACGGGGCUUGCCCAGUAGUAUAAAAGUGAUGAGGAUAACAAAAUAUUUUAUGAGGACAUAAAAGAGAUCAUGAAAAGACCAGAUUAAGUUGUUCGAGGAACUGGCAAACUCCAUGGAAAUAAAUUCAGGAGCUGAGAUGCUUAUAAGCAUCGAUAGAUCUACCUAUAGCUCAUGUAUUUUCCAGCCAAAUCCAAUGAUUAAAAUUGCAUUAUAUUAUGGCGAUGGGGAAUACAUGAAAACACAAAAGAGAUCAUCAAGAGUGACCAGAAAACUCUAAGGAAGUAAAUUAGGGAGAAGAGACUAAUCAAACCAUGAAUUUAAGAUUCGUCCUAUUUUGGACAGCAACGACAAGGUCUUGAUCUAUGCCUACCAAGUCUGUAUUUGUUCUGUCUGCCUUGCUAUACGAUCAGUAUGGUUUAUAUAUGGGAUUGUGGGAGCUAUGGCAUGAAUCAUCACCAUUUGGGAAGUACAUACGAUACUCUAGAGCUGCUGCAGGCUCCGGUUUCUGCGGCUGUUUGGGGUAAUGUUUCAUAUAAUGUUCAUAAUGUGCAGGCAGAAUCUCAAGAAGCGCAAUUAUAGUUUCCGAAUUAUGACUGGCGGCCUGCUCUUUACCGAGACACGACGACACGGCAAAUCGUAAGCAGUUAUUUUUAUACCCCCCACAAGUCGAAAAUCAAGUUUUUUUUUUGCAAUUGCCAAAGCCAACAAAGAGGCUGGAG
rnacentral:sRNA from 1 species